UUAAGCGACUAAGCGUACACGGUGGAUGCCCUGGCAGUCAGAGGCGAUGAAGGACGUGCUAAUCUGCGAUAAGCGUCGGUGAGGUGAUAUGAACCGUUAUAACCGGCGAUUUCCGAAUGGGGAAACCCAGUGUGUUUCGACACACUAUCAUUAACUGAAUCCAUAGGUUAAUGAGGCGAACCGGGGGAACUGAAACAUCUAAGUACCCCGAGGAAAAGAAAUCAACCGAGAUUCCCCCAGUAGCGGCGAGCGAACGGGGAGGAGCCCAGAGCCUGAAUCAGUGUGUGUGUUAGUGGAAGCGUCUGGAAAGGCGCGCGAUACAGGGUGACAGCCCCGUACACAAAAAUGCACAUACUGUGAGCUCGAUGAGUAGGGCGGGACACGUGGUAUCCUGUCUGAAUAUGGGGGGACCAUCCUCCAAGGCUAAAUACUCCUGACUGACCGAUAGUGAACCAGUACCGUGAGGGAAAGGCGAAAAGAACCCCGGCGAGGGGAGUGAAAAAGAACCUGAAACCGUGUACGUACAAGCAGUGGGAGCCUCUUAAUGGGGUGACUGCGUACCUUUUGUAUAAUGGGUCAGCGACUUAUAUUCUGUAGCAAGGUUAACCGAAUAGGGGAGCCGAAGGGAAACCGAGUCUUAACUGGGCGUUAAGUUGCAGGGUAUAGACCCGAAACCCGGUGAUCUAGCCAUGGGCAGGUUGAAGGUUGGGUAACACUAACUGGAGGACCGAACCGACUAAUGUUGAAAAAUUAGCGGAUGACUUGUGGCUGGGGGUGAAAGGCCAAUCAAACCGGGAGAUAGCUGGUUCUCCCCGAAAGCUAUUUAGGUAGCGCCUCGUGAAUUCAUCUCCGGGGGUAGAGCACUGUUUCGGCAAAGGGGUCAUCCCGACUUACCAACCCGAUGCAAACUGCGAAUACCGGAGAAUGUUAUCACGGGAGACACACGGCGGUGCUAACGUCCGUCGUGAAGAGGGAAACAACCCAGACCGCCAGCUAAGGUCCCAAAGUCAUGGUUAAGUGGGAAACGAUGUGGGAAGGCCCAGACAGCCAGGAUGUUGGCUUAGAAGCAGCCAUCAUUUAAAGAAAGCGUAAUAGCUCACUGGUCGAGUCGGCCUGCGCGGAAGAUGUAACGGGGCUAAACCAUGCACCGAAGCUGCGGCAGCGACACUAUGUGUUGUUGGGUAGGGGAGCGUUCUGUAAGCCUGUGAAGGUGUACUGUGAGGUAUGCUGGAGGUAUCAGAAGUGCGAAUGCUGACAUAAGUAACGAUAAAGCGGGUGAAAAGCCCGCUCGCCGGAAGACCAAGGGUUCCUGUCCAACGUUAAUCGGGGCAGGGUGAGUCGACCCCUAAGGCGAGGCCGAAAGGCGUAGUCGAUGGGAAACAGGUUAAUAUUCCUGUACUUGGUGUUACUGCGAAGGGGGGACGGAGAAGGCUAUGUUGGCCGGGCGACGGUUGUCCCGGUUUAAGCGUGUAGGCUGGUUUUCCAGGCAAAUCCGGAAAAUCAAGGCUGAGGCGUGAUGACGAGGCACUACGGUGCUGAAGCGACAAAUGCCCUGCUUCCAGGAAAAGCCUCUAAGCAUCAGGUAACAUCAAAUCGUACCCCAAACCGACACAGGUGGUCAGGUAGAGAAUACCAAGGCGCUUGAGAGAACUCGGGUGAAGGAACUAGGCAAAAUGGUGCCGUAACUUCGGGAGAAGGCACGCUGAU
rnacentral:rRNA from 1 species